GCAUAAAAAAAUAUGGUACAUUCGGGUCUAUAGUAUUUUUGCAAGACUUUUUUGGUGGAUUUGAGUAAAAGUGCAUUCAGGUCAUAUAGUACAUUCUCCUAUUAAAUAAAUAUGGUGCACUCCUAUGUUAUUAGCUAAAAUGUUUAGAUUAUAAUUCAGAGUCAUAUCAUAAAUAAAUUAAUAUUAAUAAAAUAAAUGGCUUUUUGGCAAGACGGAUUUGGAGGGAUGGGUUUUUGAAUCAACAUUAAUAAAAAAGUAAAAUCUAAUUAAUCCACCGUUUUAAUACGGAUUAAAUUUUUAAUUUAU
rnacentral:sRNA from 1 species